UACGUAGGGAGCAAGCGUUGUCCGGAAUCAUUGGGCGUAAAGCGCGCGUAGGUGGCCCCAUAAGUCCGCUGUGAAAGUCAAAGGCUCAACCUUUGAAAGCCGGUGGAUGACUGUGGGACUAGAGUACGGAAGAGGCGAGUGGAAUUCCUGGUGUAGCGGUGGAAUGCGCAGAUAUCAGGAGGAACACCAAUAGCGAAGGCAGCUCGCUGGGACGUUACUGACACUGAGGCGCGAAAGCGUGGGGAGCGAACAGG
rnacentral:rRNA from 1 species